rnacentral:rRNA from 1 species
UACGUAGGGACCAAGCGUUGUUCGGAUUUACUGGGCGUAAAGGGCGCGUAGGCGGCCAGCACAAGUCAGUUGUGAAAUCUCCGGGCUUAACUCGGAAAGGUCAACUGAUACUGUGCGGCUAGAGUGCAGAAGGGGCAACUGGAAUUCUCGGUGUAGCAGUGAAAUGCGUAGAUAUCGAGAGGAACACCUGCGGCGAAGGCGGGUUGCUGGGCUGACACUGACGCUGAUGCGCGAAAGCCAGGGGAGCGAACGGG